CUAGCUCUGAACUCCCAGCCUCUGAAUGCAUGGGGAGCUCAGAGCCUUAACUCACCAAAGUUCUCUCCUGGAGUUGAACAGUGUGAACAUUUGUUGCAGAACUGCCUUCUGGUAUUAAGUAAAGCUGCAGUGCAUGCCUUUUCUCUUAUUUUCAUGGCUCAUAUAUGAGGAUCAUUAGGUUUAUUCAUUUCUGAUCAGAAAUGGGCUGAAACCGCAGCUCCUCACUUGGAUUCUUUGGGGGACACCUAGGAUUUUUGCACUGAACUUUGCAGAAAGUCCCAUAAACAGCAUUCUAGUGGUGGACACUGAUGGUUUCAUUUUUUUUCUGGCUCAAGAGAGCACUCUUCCACUUGAAUAAAUGUGAAGGAAGCACAGCCUUAGGAAAGCUCUCUGUCAAUGAAAACAAAAGCCUAAGAAGUGAAAGGCCAUCAUAAGUCUCGCAGUCUUCCACUCCAAGUGUGAGACUUGCUUUGUGACCUUGCUUUAUCCAGUAUUCAACAACAUGUGCAGACAAAACCAGAAAAAGUCCCUAGGAAAACAAGAGGCCUGGCGCCGCAUCCUCCUCCUCCAUGGGGAGAUGAUGAGAGAACAAAGAACAUGUGAUGGAUGUGAGACACACCACAUAAUGUGAUGUCCUCAGAUAGUCAGAUGAGUGAAUAUCCAAGCUUCAACAGGACAGAGCAACACCUGAAUUGCUACAGGAGAUUUCAAUGGGAGGUGAAGAUGCUGGGCGUGCAGCAUGAAUCUGAUGAGAAAAGAGAAAGAGAAGGAUGAGGAGAAAGACUUUCACACAUGAAACCACAGUCUUCCGGGAUGACUGAAAACGGCAAAAUGAAAGAAACAAUCCAUUCUUCAGACAGUGUCAGACUAAGAGAUAAAACAUAUCCGGAUUCAGCUGUUGCCUCUUAAAGCUUCCUGUUCCUCUCACAAAAACUACUGGAAAAGUGCUCUUCCCUUUGCAGGACCUUCUACAAACAGACUUCAGUAAUUCCAACAGCACUAACAUACUGUUGGUCUCUGCUAAAAGCCCAGUGAGAAUCAAUGCUUUUUUAUUAAAAGGAACUCCAUUUUGAAAGCUCCAAGGGUUUUUUGUUUUUUUUCUUUCUCAGGCGGCAUAAGGUAAAGAUGACUUUUGACAUUAUAAGUUCUUUCCCUUUCCUUGAACUGAGAUACACCCUAAGUGAAUGAAAAAAC
rnacentral:lncRNA from 1 species